rnacentral:lncRNA from 1 species
UCUUAAAUAUUUAUUGUCUCCCUUUUUUCAUACCAGUGUCCUUUGUUCUCUUGAAAUACAGGUGGUCACUUGGUCUCUGGGUGAGAUACUUGGGAGCUGUGCAGGAUGAUCUCAAGGAGCCUCUCAGCUGUGGAAUUCCCUAUCAGCAGAGACAGGGAACCAAGGUGAACACACCAGACGGACCAAGAACCCUGAACUCUCUGACCAGGAACCAUCAACAGGAACCUAGAGCCACUGCUCAGGAACUCGCCAUCAGGAACAGCUCCGCCAAAGACAGGAUCAGGAACGAUGUAGAUUCCUGCAGAAGUGGAGUCCAGUUGAAGAGACACAGAUGGGAUUUGGGGGCAAAGGAGCUGCAGAACUGGCAAGACUGGAGCAGGACAAAAAGUAACAAGUGGCAAGAUUCAGGAGUUGGAUGUACUAUAAAUGUUUAUUUGAAGAAAUGUAUUGAUUGAAGUUCCUGCAUAUAGAGAAUUUUAGAACAACAACUCCAUUACAACUUUCUGACAAAUAUCAAGAAUUGGCUCUAUAGAUAAGUAAUUUUUCUUCUGUUUCCAACCUAGGAGGCCUUUUAAAGUAUAAAUAAUGGUACCCUGUCUCUUAAGUAUAAAUAGUUCUUCUGCUUAAUAUGUUAUGUCUCAGUAACAGCGCUGUUCUGCAUAAUCAUUAUUCCCUACAGGUUUAAAAACAAUGCCAAAAACAAACAAACAAAAACCUACCUAAUGGAUUAGAACCCUCUAAGCAGAGCAGGGAAACAGAAAUUGGUACAAUUUACUUUAAAACAUUUUUACUUCUGGCAAAAUGGACCAAUAUUCCAUCAAAAAGAUGAGAAAAGUAAAAAAAAAAAAAGUAAGUGGUACAAAUAAGACAUUAUUAUAAGAAGUUGGCAGAGUAGCUGAGGAAUAAUGGAAGAUAGAAAGACAUAGGAUGUGGGGGAAAAGAGUAAAUGGUUAUUUUAGAAAAAUUGGUUGAUACAGCUUGAGGUAGGAAUGCAAAACUGAAUUGUAGGUUGUAAACAUUGAUGUUCAGUGUACUGAUUUGGGAGGCAAAAGGAUAGAAAUUACUGAAGGAAUUCAAAUUACAUGGUGUUCCUGCUACUUAAAUAAGGGAGAUACCUAAUAAGAGCACAGUGCUGAGGUAGUUUAACAAAAAGCCUUGAUUAAUAAGCAUCAGUCGUCUUCACUUGAUAUUUCAUCUUUCUAAUUAUAUGUAUUUGAGACCAGCAUGUAACCUUCCACUUUAGCUGUGGACUGCUCAGAUGUACAGUAGAUUGUUAAUUCAAACCGAGCCACAAACAAAUUUUGUUUUAGUUGUGUGUGUAUAUAUUGCUAGAAGAAUACUUCCUAAAGAUUGUACAGUAGCUUCCUGCAGUCUUGGUUUGAGAAAUUUAUCCAGUCUUAAAAAAAUUGUCUCAUGCUUUUAUAUGUCAGUUUCACAACAUUUAUGGAAAUUUCA